CAAAAACAUGUCUAUAUGAUUGUUAUAUAAAGUCUAGCCUGCCCACUGAUUUGUUUUAAAGGGCCGCGGUAUAUUGACCGUGCGAAGGUAGCAUAAUCAUUAGUCUUUUAAUUGGAGGCUUGUAUGAAUGGUUGGACAAAAAGUAAGCUGUCUCGGUUAUAAUAAUUGAACUUAACUUUUAAGUGAAAAGGCUUAAAUGUUUCAGGGGGACGAUAAGACCCUAUAAAGCUUGACAAUAAUUUCGUUAUAUUAUAAAUUGUUAGUAUAACUUGAUUUUAACGGGAGUUUGUUUCGUUGGGGCGACGGGAAUAUAAUAAAUAACUGUUCUUUUAAAUAUAAUUACAAAAAUACUUGGUAAAUAAUUGAUCCUCUAUUAGAGAUUAAAAGAUUAAGUUACUUUAGGGAUAACAGCGUAAUCUUCUUUGAGAGUCCACAUCGACAAGAAGGUUUGCGACCUCGAUGUUGAAUUAAGGUAU
rnacentral:rRNA from 1 species